GUGUGGCACCCAGGAGUAUUUGUUUAUAGAAAGGCAGCCCUUCAACAACGGUUCAGUUAAUUAUUUUGUUGUAUUUUGUGUUUUCAUUGUUUUUGCUGUGUGGCACACCCUCACACUGGCUUGCAUGAACAGUAACCUCUGGUGCUAUACCCUUUUUGCGCCAGAGGGGGCAGUAAUGGCGCCUGGGAGACAGAGAGACUGACUGCGAACCGUAGAAGCAGCUCAGAUCGAGCGCGAGCUACGUUCAGCAGUUAGCACGGCGCAGCCUUUAUGUUUGAUUGUUAUUUUCUGUGAUUACAGAUCGUUUGUAUGGUAGAAGCAGCUCAGAUCGAGCGCGAGCUACGUUCAGCAGUCAGCACGGCGCAGCCUUUAUGUUUGAUUAUUAUUUUCUGUGAUUACAGAAUAAAAGUCGACCUGUUACACCCCAGCCAAAUGCUUUUGUCGUAACGUGUGUAACACAAGCACCGCCGUAAUCGGCUUCCGUAGCUACAGGUUAGUAAUUAGUGUGAUAGGUAUAGUGAAGUAUAUAUAGUAGGUCUAUGCAUAUAGUAGUAUAAAGGCUUUUGUUAGAUUUAGUUAAAAGCAUAGAUUUCAGUUAGAUCAUGCAGUAAAACUUUACUUGAGGGGACACAAAUAAUGUAGUAUUAAGCUAUUACUUAUGUAUUACUUAUCCACAAAUUAGGUGUCAGUUACAAACUGAUUUCAUGUUUGUUCAUCAUUAAUGAAGUGUCACACAUUUUCUCAAGAACUACUAAGAAGCUACUGAAGGAACAAGUAUGCCUAAUGAAUAACACAAGUGAAAUACCGAUCUCACCAUUAAUAAUGGUACAGCCAUAGCCCAUGCAUCUCCUGGAAGUUAACAGAACUAUUACAACUGUUUAUGGAAUAUGACGUGAAUAUGAACUGGCAGUGUGUUUACAUUACCAUCCAUUCAUCUUCACACACCUUCGGGGACCAUAUAUCUGGAAACCUAGGACACACGGCGGAGGAAGGCCCUGGAUGGGAUGGCAAGCCAUGGCAGGACAGUUACAAUGCAAUAUUAGUGAUAAACUGAACUUUAGCCUCUUAUAUUAAGGUUCCAGAUUGAUCUGGGCUAUAAUUCUGAAGAUCUGGUAUUACACUUUAACCCUUGUUUUGCUAUAGUAUUACUAGGGACAGUACUGAGUAUUAACAGUAGUUUAGUAUUGUUAGGGACAGUACUGAGUAUUAACAGUAGUUUAGUAUUGUUAGGGACAGUACUGAGUAUUAACAGUAGUAUAGUAUUAUUAGGUUCUGGCUUUGUUGGAAGACGUUGUGUAGCUGCAGUACUGCAUACACUUGUAACUAGGCAUUCAGGAGCUUUAAGCUCCUGAGUGCUUGUUCUUUUGUAAAUGCUCUCCAGACUUGGGGAAUAUCACCUUGUCCAUGGAAUUUUCUGCUGUAAUGGAGAAUGAUUUAAAUUCUUCAUUUACCUGCUUAAUUAUCAUCUCAAGAGACCUUUCCAUCACUUCCUGAAGGAAAUCAAUGUCAGUAACAAUGUCAGUAAUAUCUUGAUGGUUCAUAACUUUGAUGUCAUUUUCUCCAAAUCUCAGUUCAUCAGUCAGCUGUCUGGAAAACACCUUAAGCCACAUGUUAACAUCACCUUUACUCUGUUUGGUUUCCUCUGUUUGUUGCAUGAACUAAAGACUGAUGUUUCUGCUUAAUAUUGAUUUUGAUUAAAGGAAAAAUUUUGGAUGUGU